GCCUGGGGCAGCGCGAGGCCUGCGGCGCCCGGCUCCCCCCGACACGGGGCUGGUAGUUCGGGCCGCGAGCGCAGCCGGCUGGGCAGAUACGUUGCCGGAGUGACCCGCGGAAGCCCCCUCGCCGCCCCCCGCCCAGCCGUCAGCGCUGUCACGUGACCAGCCCCGCCGGCGGCCGCCCGCUGCUUUCAUUGGGGCAAAGAGCCGCCCCUGCCCCGGAGCCAACAGGCGCGCGUGAGCGAUGGGGCCACGCCCAGCGCCCCGCUCUAGGAGGCGGAGCUAGCGCGGACGGGGAGCGAUGGAGGCGGCGGAGCCGGAGCCGGAGCCGGAGCCGAGCGUGGCGAAUGGCGACUGCAGCCGCCCCCUGUCGCUCUCCGGACAGUCCUACUGGCUCGACGUGUGGCUCUUCGUCCUCUUCGACCUGGCGCUGCUCGUCUUCGUCUAUCUGCUGCCCUGAGCCCGCGGUGGCAGCUCCUAUUCAAGAUGAUGAUCCCUAUUUAUGAAAACAUACUUUGGAAGAGGAAGACUAUGCAUGUAACAGGACAAUGGGAAAUGACUCUCAAAACUGUUAAGCCACUGAGUGCUAGUGAUACACUGAUCCAUUCAUGGACGUACUGAUUUGAGGGGGUCCAGUUCAUUUAUAGCCUAUUUACUUCAAUGACAAUGUAAACUACUUCAAAGGUUGAGGAUAUUCUAGUUUCCAUGGCAGUAAGAUGGAUUGCUCAUUUGUCUUUUACAUAAUGUUUAGUCUUUGAAUAAAGAUCAAUUGAAAAAAAUGGAACUUCAGACUGGCUGAAUAGCCCCUUCUGUAGAAGUGAUGGGUUGAAAUAGAAUUGUGUAGGAAGAUGUUGCCUGGUUUCUCGUGGGUUAGUUUAUUGGUUAUAGGUUUCAGGUUUUAUAGGUUAUGCUCAAAUUUGUUUAGUCUCGAAGGUGCCACAAAUACUUUUUUUUUUAAUUGGGUAUGACCUCAUUUUCUUGCCUGGCAAGAUCAAUUCCCUCUUUCCAACACUUCCAUGCAGCUCUAUCCCUCUGAGGCUUUUUAUAGGAGCUGUCCUGAGACAGGUAAUGGCCAUAAUAAGGUUUUAUGGGUGUCUUCUUAAAUUACCUAACAGGACCCUAGUUACUGUGCUGGCUGAUAACCACUAUCCUUCCCUACAGGAAUAACCUGUAGGUACACAGGGCCCUGUAUUUAAAGGGGUCCUCCUCUGUGCUAAUCACUACAUCUCCUCUGAAAGAUCAUGCAGAUUUUGACAUCAGAAUCCCAUUGUAAUUAGGUAGAGUGUAAAAAGGCAAGCCUGGCUGCUUAAAGCUUGCCUGCGUUUAAAGGGCUACACUGGUGAAGAUAUGACCUACACCCCUAGGGGGGCUUUUCCUGUUGGCAUAGGUACUCCACCUUCUUGAGAGGCAGGAGCUAUGUUUAUGGGAGAAGGUGGACCACUGACAUAAUUAGGUCAGUAUAACUACAUUGCUCAGGGCUGUUAGUUUAUACUAACCACCAACUACAUACCCAGAGCCUCUCUGGUUUGUUAGAAUGCUACUCAAGCCAUUGCUGCUGCACUGUAGUUUGUGUGCUAGCACAGUUGUUUGUCCCCAGGGGGGAGCAUGCUCCUGCUAUACCUUCACUGAAAUUAUCCCACUGUCUAAAGGAACAUGGAAUGCAGCUCUUUCUAACAAAUGUAUGGGACACCUCUCCUCUAGUUGAAGUAAGUAGGGGAAGUAUUGCAGGAUCAUAGUGGUCCUUUGACAACUGAGCUUUAAGUGGGUGGUUAGAGGCAGGGGGAGUAAGGAGCAGGGGGGGUUGGGCAGGAAAGAAUGGGUCAGGUGUUCUGAGGGGGGCAAGAGGCCAGGCAGUUUGCAGAGGCACAGCCUUCCUACCUGGCCCUCCAUACUGUGUUGCAGCCCUCAGGCCAAAAAGUUUGCCCACCCCUCCAUUAAUGACACCAGCAGCUCUUAUCUAGCUAUACAGCUUUUCUCCAUGCAUGUCAACCACAGCACAUCUUCACGAAAGUUGUAUACAAAUGGGCUUCCUGCUGGUGUAGUCAAUGCUUAAGUAAGCUGUAACAGCAAAAAGGACAUGGUUUAAACAACCUUACACUUUACCAUUAACAUACAAAACACAGUAUGUAUGGGGUUCAUUUUAAAAUAUGGAUUUAAAAAAAGUGGCCCAGAGCAGCUUCAGGAUUCUGUCUCAGGAAAAACAGGGUGAUAAUAACAGAGGCUGCCUGAUACAUGUUGAGACCCUGAAUGCAACUAGCAGAAGACUUCUUCCCACCCCCACUUACAGCAAAACAGUUCAAACAUGAGAUCUGGGCAACUUCAAUAUUUAUGCUCUGCAAUGUUAAGCAAGCUUUUUUUAAACACUGUUUGUAGCUAAUAUGGUUUAGUGAAGAUACAUCAUCACUGUUCAAAUUAGAUAGCUGAGAACUACUCUCAAGUACCUAGUUGAUAAGUGUUCCACCACUUUUAAAUCACCUGUUUAAAACAAUACAGAGACUAGAGAUAGCAGCUACAAUAGUAGUUAGAUUUUUAUCUAGUAGUCUGAACAAGCAGGAAAAUGCAACUUGGCAUGAAAAUAAAAUUCUAAAGACUGAAAAAUAUUAGUUACAAUACCUGUUAAAUGCAUUAACACAUUACAAAAUGUCUGUUCUUAUACAAAUCUAUAACCAGGACAUUUAUAAAAAAAUAAAUAGGCACUGUAGCUAAAUCAAUAUCAGAUCACACAUUAGUUAAAAAAUAAACAGGACCUAUAGAGUAAAUAUAAAAACUGAAGGUGUCAAUAUAAUAGUGCACAUAAAACUUAUCUGGUAAACAGGUUAUACAAAAGAUUUUGCCGGGAAAGACAAAGUUCAUUUAAGUGACUUCAAUGAAGAUUGUUGUAUUUCAGAACUCCAGAAGAACCUAAGAAGCUAUUCUUGAAUAAACUCCCCCAUUAUGCUCACUACCUUUCCAGAAACCAAAUUCACUUGUUAAAUAAUAGGCAUUCACUUUGUUCCUUUGUAUAGAAGUAUGAAUGUUUGCUAUGCACAUUUAAGAACAUUAACUUUGCUCUUAUAUAGUAUUCAGUGUUGUGCUGUUCAUACAUUAAAUUACUGCAAUUUCAAAUAAAAGAUUUCUGGAAAAGCUUGA